AAUAAACGGUCGCGUGCCUUGCUCCAAAGGGCAUGGCAUGAGGAAAGUCCGAGCAUCGCAGGGCAGGAUAACGGCUAACGGCCGCCGAGGGUGACCUUAGGGAAAGUGCAACAGAGAUAUACCGCCUGUUCCUUCGGGAGCGGGUAAGGGUGGAAAGGCGAGGUAAGAGCUCACCGGCUGCUGUGGAGACAUGGCAGUCCUGUAAACCCUAUCCGAUGCAACAUCGUGGUGGAACAUAUGCGGUUGCCCGCCGCGUUCCUAGGAGAUGGCUGGAGCUGUGCAGCAAUGUACAGUCGAGAUAGAUGACCGUUCACGACAGAACUCGGCUUACAGUUCUGCUCAUC
rnacentral:RNase_P_RNA from 1 species